rnacentral:rRNA from 1 species
GACGAACGCUGGCGGCGUGCCUAAUACAUGCAAGUAGAACGCUGAAGGAGGAGCUUGCUUCUCUGGAUGAGUUGCGAACGGGUGAGUAACGCGUAGGUAACCUGCCUGGUAGCGGGGGAUAACUAUUGGAAACGAUAGCUAAUACCGCAUAAUAGCAGUUGUUGCAUGAUAACUGUUUGAAAGGUGCAAUUGCACCACUACCAGAUGGACCUGCGUUGUAUUAGCUAGUUGGUGGGGUAACGGCUCACCAAGGCGACGAUACAUAGCCGACCUGAGAGGGUGAUCGGCCACACUGGGACUGAGACACGGCCCAGACUCCUACGGGAGGCAGCAGUAGGGAAUCUUCGGCAAUGGACGGAAGUCUGACCGAGCAACGCCGCGUGAGUGAAGAAGGUUUUCGGAUCGUAAAGCUCGGUUGUAAGAGAAGAACGAGUGUGAGAGUGGAAAGUUCACACUGUGACGGUAUCUUACCAGAAAGGGACGGCUAACUACGUG